GGGUGCUGCUCAGCAGAAUCCUAAUGAACUGGUGCAUGAGCUAGAAAGAUGCGAGCCCAUGCUAAAGGAGGCUGCUGCAGAACACGCAAAUGGCCGACAGGUACCGGAUGAAGGACUUCCCAGACAAAGGCUUCAAUAGCUCCAACCAAGGACUGCCAGGCAGAAGGAAACGCGGAUGAU